rnacentral:rRNA from 1 species
UACGUAGGGGGCAAGCGUUAUCCGGAUUUACUGGGUGUAAAGGGAGCGUAGACGGCCAUUCAAGCCAGAUGUGAAAGCCCGGGGCUCAACCCCGGGACUGCAUUUGGAACUGUAUGGCUGGAGUGUCGGAGAGGCAGGCGGAAUUCCUAGUGUAGCGGUGAAAUGCGUAGAUAUUAGGAGGAACACCAGUGGCGAAGGCGGCCUGCUGGACGAUGACUGACGUUGAGGCUCGAAAGCGAGGGGAGCAAACAGG